CAUGCAAGUCGAACGAUGAACCACUUCGGUGGGGAUUAGUGGCGAACGGGUGAGUAACACGUGGGCAAUCUGCCCUGCACUCUGGGACAAGCCCUGGAAACGGGGUCUAAUACCGGAUACUGACCCUCACGGGCAUCUGUGAGGUUCGAAAGCUCCGGCGGUGCAGGAUGAGCCCGCGGCCUAUCAGCUUGUUGGUGAGGUAAUGGCUCACCAAGGCGACGACGGGUAGCCGGCCUGAGAGGGCGACCGGCCACACUGGGACUGAGACACGGCCCAGACUCCUACGGGAGGCAGCAGUGGGGAAUAUUGCACAAUGGGCGAAAGCCUGAUGCAGCGACGCCGCGUGAGGGAUGACGGCCUUCGGGUUGUAAACCUCUUUCAGCAGGGAAGAAGCGAAAGUGACGGUACCUGCAGAAGAAGCGCCGGCUAACUACGUGCCAGCAGCCGGGGGGUAAUUC
rnacentral:rRNA from 1 species